UCCUCCACACUGAUGACCUGCUCAGUCUCCAGCUGGGUCAAUUAACAAACAGCUUCAAAAGUUUAAAACCCAGCUGGAGCUCAGCUGACACCCACUGGCUCAAAGGAAACAAUGGAGAAAAAGGUCAUUAAAGAUAUGAAAAGCUUUGAGUGCUCCUCUCCAUCAGAGCUCGACAGGAAGUUUUUUGGGGAACACAGUUUGCUGUCUGCUUUGUCGCUGGAACAACUGUCCACAUCAAGAACCUCAAAUGAUGCAGAGGCUGAUGGAUCUGACACAAGGUUGUCCGUCCUGGCUUCUCUCUGCCUCUCGUCAGACCCCAUCUCUCCCUCUCAAGCCUUUCCAAUGGGCAGCGUAAAUUCUCAAGACACUGACAAUUGUUACCUAGCAGUACCUCUACAAGGAAAGUCCUCUACACCCCAGAUACUCCUUCAAAAGCAGCAGAAGAAGGCUGCUUGUUUUGACCAGCUGUACAGUGAUGUCGCUGCCUCUCAGAUGUCAUGGGAUGUGUCCUUGAUUAAACCAGAGAGCAACAGUCCCAAACCCUACAUGGAGUCCAGUGGUCUGGAGCAAACAUGGAGUCCAAAACCCCCGUCUACACAAUAUUCACUUGCUGAGGUUUCUCCCUGACGUGGCAGACUGUCCUUCAAACACCUUCACCCUCACAAACUCACCGGUUUGGAGUUUUUCAGCUGUACAUGAUUGUCUGCCUCUGCACCCACCAUGCAUCAAGGAUGACUUAAAGUGGAUUUUAAAAUGUUCUGUGUGUACGUGAAGGAUCCAUGUGUGAAGAUUAAUGCAGAGAUUUUUUUUUUUUUUUAAAAGCUGUGAAUAUUUAAAUAAAACUGAACUUUAUC